GAAAGCCGUAUGAGGGAAAACCUCACGUACGGUUUGAUGAGGGGGAACUGAAAGUAAAGAAGAUAGCCGAAAGGCUACCCUCUAGAAAUCAGUUCUCUACUCUAC
rnacentral:ncRNA from 1 species